GUUCAGCUGAUUUAGUGAUGUUUGGGAUAUGUGAUUCAUGUAUUUUCUUGUUUAAAUCAUUUAGGAUAUAUCAAUAGUUUAAACAAGUUAAAUAUACACGAUUGUUCUCAUUUUCCGAAGGACAAUCUAAACUCUUCCACACCUUGUUCCACUUCCUAGUUUCUGUAUGAUACAUAUCAAUUGUAGUUCCGGUUUAGUACCCCGAAGCUCUAUAAUUUGGUGUUUAGCUACUUCAAUUUCAUACUCUUUUAAAGACUCAACACUAGCAUGCAAUUUUUUUUUAAGUGCUUCAUUUUUCUUCAUGAGUUAGUUACAGAUGUCGGAGAUCAUUCAUCUCUUUUUCUUAGGCCAUUAGCUUGUUUGGAAAGACAACACUAUGAGUCUUGAUUUGAUAAACACUAGCUGGAUCCAAUAGUUCUCGCUUCAAAUCAACAUUAGCCUUAGUCAACUUGGUAUUCUUUUCAUAAACCUUUUCACAAGUGAGGUUUAAGGUAUCAUCACCUCCAUCACCGUCUGACCUUCAAAAUUAGACUUGCAUAUUCGAAUGUGGUUUCGCAAGUUUAUUAAUUGAAAGGGGUGGUGGGAGGAGUAAAAUUAUGGUCACCUUCUCUCUAGUUUCCCCACGAGUAAUCCUUCUAGGCAUAGCUUUCAUAGGUUUUCUAUUCCACUCAGUUGAAGAUUGGUCAGUUAACCCAUUCUAGCAGUAGGCUUGACUAAGUCAUGUAAGCCGAACACGUUCUAUAUCUUCCAAAAUUUUGAAUGUCUAUCAAUCCAAAAAAUCCAUUUCAGCAGAUAAAGUUUGGCCUCGUUCUUUGAACCAAGCGUUAAAAAACUAAGAGCAACCCACCUAAAACAAAAUUUAAAACCGUAUUUUUUCUAGGGUUUGAUUUGCUUGUGAAAUAAAACAAAAUUUAAAAACGUAUUUUUUCUAGGGUUCGAUUUGCUUGUGACGAUAAUGCUAAUAAAAACUACCUCAGUGAAGCAACUACAACCCUAAUUGAAGCCAUCUAAUUAUGCAAUAUACUUAAAAUGAUAAACAAUUGAAAGCAUCCCACAUGAAUCAGGUGGAAACCAAAGGUGGGAGAAAACCACGAGAGAGCAAAUCAAGCCGUACGGAAUUCACGAGUUACAUCCCAAGCAUAAGCUCCACUUGCAGAGAGCACACACAUUGCAUUUGUCUUGGUCCUCUAGUACCCCAACCACUCAGAAUACACCAAGCCUCCAAACCUUGAGUCCUUUGUUGGGAACCUCCUCGAAGAGCCUAAAGGUUGGCCAUUGGGUAACCUACUGAAGGACUUCAAUGUAAAGCAUUGAGAUUUGUUGGAGUUUGUCCCACAUCGGUUAAUUAUCUUCUCCAAUUAUCUUCUCCAAAACUAGUAUAUUAGCUUGGGCGGCCUCUCCACUCUUUGACAAUUGGUUUGGAGUUGGUCAGAGCUAGGGUUUUGGAGGCUUUUUUCUUUUGUUUGUGCCAUAGUUGCACUUUCUUUCGUUUGGAGAGGGAGUAUUUUGCAGCUUUGGUAUUGGGUAGGGCACCCACAUCAUGUCACCUAUUAUGAUCUGAUGGGCUAUUUGUAGAAACUACGGCGGACCAUAACCGAUUGUCCAGACUGGACUCAAUUGAUCAGAUUUCCCCAUUGUGCUCGGCUCUCCAUAAUUGAUGAAGCCAAAGUGAUAGCACUUCCCCCUUCGAUCGGGUUCCCUGUACUUCGGUUAUUUUUGGAAAACCAUCUUAUCUCUCUCUGCUUUGCUCUGGUUCUUGAAAACUACUGGUCUGAGGAUGGAUAAACAACGAACAUAUCUUGAACGAUUACGUCAGUGAAAAA